rnacentral:tRNA from 1 species
UCCCCUGUGGCUCAGUUGGUAGAGCAUGGUGUUUGCAACGCCAGGGUUGUGGGUUCGAUUCCCACGGGAG